GACGAACGCUGGCGGCGUGCUUAACACAUGCAAGUCGAACGGAAAGGCCCUUCGGGGUACUCGAGUGGCGAACGGGUGAGUAACACGUGGGUGAUCUUCCCUGCACUUUGGGAUAAGCCUGGGUAACUGGGUCUAAUACCGAAUAGGACCACGCGCUUCAUGGUGUGUGGUGGAAAGCUUUUGCGGUGUGGGAUGGGCCCGCGGCCUAUCAGCUUGUUGGUGGGGUAAUGGCCUACCAAGGCGACGACGGGUAGCCGGCCUGAGAGGGUGACCGGCCACACUGGGACUGAGAUACGGCCCAGACUCCUACGGGAGGCAGCAGUGGGGAAUAUUGCACAAUGGGCGCAAGCCUGAUGCAGCGACGCCGCGUGAGGGAUGACGGCCUUCGGGUUGUAAACCUCUUUCAAUAGGGACGAAGCGCAAGUGACGGUACCUAUAGAAGAAGCACCGGCCAACUACGUG
rnacentral:rRNA from 1 species